rnacentral:lncRNA from 1 species
UGUGUGUGUGUGUGUGUAAAGGGGUGCGGCCAGGAGAAGGGGGAAAAGAACGAACCCUAGUUCUUGAUCAUUCCUACAAGAUUCAUCAAAUUCAGCCUUAAGUUUAAGUGAUUCUAAUGCAUGCUUGAUAAAUUAGAGUCUACAAAUUCAUCUCAUCAUAAGUUAAAGUGGGAUGUAUGAAAUCACAAUCCAAAUAUAUAUAUGAAGAGUUAGAGAUCAGUGAUUGAGGAUUUCAAUCAAGGAGACGAAGAUUCUAGUGGCAAAGUCAUGAGCUGUUCCAUAGGAUGAUGAUCAU